GCCGGGUGUGGUGGUGGGCGCCUGUAAUCCCAGCUACUCUGGAGGCUGAGGCAGAAGAAUCGCUUGAACCCGGGAAGUGGAGGUUGCAGUGAGGUGAGAUUGCUCCACUGCACUCCAGCCUGGGCGACAGAGUGAGACUCUGUCUCAA
rnacentral:sRNA from 1 species